UCUCUGUUCCCUCAUUCCCCAAUUCUUCCCCCGGUUGGCCGAUUCUUUCAACCUCUAUCUCCCCCAUCUCCCACUUCUCCGUUUCCUGGUUAGCCCAUUGAACGGUUUGCCCAUCUCCUGGACCGCGCUUCCCUUGUGUUCCCAUAACCUGGUUCCUCCUCUGCCUAGAUCCCUGAUUCCACAUUAUGAUGACUGUGCAUGGCUAACCCAUAACAUUUAGUGUUGUUGUUCAACAAGAAGAUUUAAUGACUGUUGCUCACAUGGUGCCCAUCAGGGAUAUUUAACGCUGUUGUUCACCCCGAAUAUUCAAUAACUAUUGUUCCACCAGACUAUUAAUGACUAUAGCUCACACCUUGAAUAUUUAAAAACCUGUUG